AACAAUAGCAGCAUUAACAGUCAUUGGACUCCCACCGAGUGUGUUAUUCUUUAAAUUAGAACCCAUGAAUAUAAUGAGAUGGAUUUUCACAGGAACAAGGGCAGGCUGAAACAAAGAGAUAAAGAAACUGAGGCUCAAUGAACUUGUAACGCUUUAGUGUCAGAGCUCUAGAAUGGGUGAAGGCCAGAUUCAGACCCAGGCAUCGUGACUCCCAAGUCUGCUUGUGGAUCCUUGAAAGCAAGGGUGAGCCAUAAGCAUUGCACCUUUGAGAGAACUGUGUAAAGUACAUAAGUCUGACCUGUGAUCCAAGAAAACAGUGAUGAGUUCUGUGCCUUGUUCUUCAUUCCCGGACCCAAGCUGACUUAUCAGUCUCACAGCAGUGGGGAAAGAGCUAUGGAAGAACCAGGAACAGGAACCAUACAACGUGUCUUACAUCUUCUGUCCUAUAUCACUUAUGCUCGCAUCUCGUUGGGCAAGAAAAGUUGUGGGGUCAAAUAUGAUGUCCAGGGAUAAGAAUAGUAGAGACAGCCAGCUAAAAUUGAGAGCAAAUAAGAUAACCUAUCCUACUCCCACAUUUUUAAGCAGUGAGCUUGAGACAGAAUCACUACCUUAGGGAACCUACACUUUAGUAUGAAAAUGUGGAGGUGUGCCAGGACCUGCUUUGGCAAAAAAACAAUGAAUAACCUGGUAAGACGAGAGAAUGUAAGGGAAGAUUACACUGGAAAGAACAUAUGUGGUCAGAUCAGAAAGACCUUAAAUACCCUUUCUAAAGAUUAGACUUAGUUUUAGAAUCAAUGGGCAGUAACUAAGUUGUCUGAAGUAGAGGUGUAGUGGUUAGUUCUUUGUGUCAAAUUGAUAGUCUAUGUAGUACAUAAUUACUUCAUUAAACACUGAUUUAGGUGUUACUGUGAAGCUAUUUUUCAGAUGGGGCUAAUAUCUACAGUCAGUUGACUUUAAGUAAAGAAUGUAGGUGGGCCUCACCCAAUCAGUUAAAGGCUUAAGAGCAAAAACAUAUUUCCUGGAGGAGAAGAAAUUCUGUCUCAAGAUGGCAGUGUAGAAAUCCCACCUGAGUUUCCAGCCUGCUGGCCUGCCCUGUAAGUGCUGGAUUUGCUAGCCCCCACAAUCGCAUGAGCCGAUUUUUAAAUAUCUUUAUAAAUAUAGAUAUAGAGAUAGAUAGAUAGAUAACCUAUUGGUUCUGUUUCUCUGGAAAACCCUAGUUCAUAAGAGAAUAUCAUGAUUCAAUUUUGUAUAGAUGGAAGAGAUUUUGCAAAUUAGAAAGGAAAGAAUUUGCUAACUGCUCAGAGGUCAGCAUGAGAGGAAAGAAUUAAAGAUGAACCCAGGACACUAUUAUUUUGUAAGCUAAGUAAUUCUACUUUUUAUAUUAUUUCUUGAAACUUUCUUCAUGCUUUGUCCUUAUUUUUACAAUGGACUACUACAUUGCUAAUGACCCCAGUUUGUUUAUUAUUCAUUAUGAUGUGCAUAUGUGAAAAUACGUUCUAUGCUGUAAAUGUAAGUUCUUUCUUUUUGUAAAUACACUGCUGCUCAAUUUCUCAGUAAUUGCUCCAAAAUUUGAAUUUUCUACCAGAUGGGAAACAGAGAUAUCAUCCAUGACCAAGAUCCAAGCAUGCAUCCCCACAAGGGCAUGACAAUAAGCGUUAUUCUUUGAUUUCUUCAAAAUGCAUUAGAGUUGCCCCAGAUGAGUAAGAAAAUAUAAGAAUUCCUUAGGUAGUCUCACCAUUAUCCCAAGAGGGCUGAGCCUUCAUCAAACCUCUUUGGAUGGCAGGAUUAAGGGAGGUUGGAAACUGAGUCUGUCCUGAUCGAGUUAAUUCUCAUCCCUACCCCAUUGCUUACCUCUAUAACUCUUUGGUUUCUGUCAGAGUUUCACAGGCUCCCAAUGUAUAACUAGGUCAGAUAUUUUUGUGGAAUUAUUAUCAUUUAGUAUUUAAUAAUGUAUUUACAGUAUUAGAUAAAGUUCUAAAACUGAGCCAUUUAAUUCCUGCUAUAUCCCUCUGAGAUAAUUUGCAAUAUCCUGUAAAUGAGAAAAUAUAAAGAGUCACAUGAUUUGACCAGCCCCCCCACCCAAAAAAAAGUAUGCCAACAAAUCUAUUUUCUCAUAGAAAUUGUUAAGUGAGAAUAGUGAGCAUAGCUCUUUCUGAGGGAUUAUGAAACAACAACAAAACAAGGAAGAACAACAACCAAAGAAGAAUAUAUAGGCCAUCAAGGAGCUAAUGAUCUGGUCUUAAAGAAAAUACAAGUGUUGGCCAGGCACUGUGGCUCACGCCUGUAAUCUCAGCACUUUGGGAGAUCGAGGCGGGUGGAUAACUUGAGGUCAUGACUUCAAGACCAGCCUGGGCAACAUGGAGAAAUACUGUCUCUACAAAAAAUACAAAAAUUAGCCAUUGUGUUGGCACACACCUGUAGUCUCAGCUACUCAAGAGUCUGAGGCAGGAGAAUCACUUGAACCUGGAAGGCAGACAUUGCAGUGAGCUGAGAUCACACCACUGCACUAAAGCCUGGGUGACAGGAUGCUCUGUCCAAAAAAAAAAAAAAAAAAACAGAGAGAGAGAGAAAGGACAGAAAACACUUGUGAAACAGGGUAUUUCCCCCAACCCCUUCACAGGACUCACAGCAGGGGUGCCUUGUUUACCCAGCCUGCAGUUUUCAACUCCUCAUGGGAGGGAGCAUGCAAGUGAACAAAGCGGGAACUGGAAUGCAUGAAUGCUGGAAUCAGCUGUCCACUUCAGCCCCAGCAGAAAUGAACUCCACUCACUUGGACUCACUGCACUCCACCCGUCAUGGGAGGGAGUGCACAGUUUCUGAGGCAGCUUCUUCUUACUCCUUCCAGAAGACUUUUGAGGAUAAAGAAAGGAUGAAAAUUCUCCAAGAAAAUGGAGCACCAAGACUGAUGUUGCACGAAAUGCCAAAAUUUUGAAGAAAAUUCCAUCAACAACAAGAUCUAUAGAGAGGAAUAGAGAAAUAUAAUCAGAAGCACUCACAGAUUUUGCUGCUUGAAGGAGCAAACCCACUCCCCUGAGAAGACAGACUGGGGCUUCUUUCCUCCCCCAUGGCCUGCUUCUUGAACCAGCAUUCUGAAUCUGAAGUAUUAACCUGAGAAUUGGCUGUCCUUCUGUGCACACAUGCUACAUUUUGAGGUGACCUGAAUACUAUCUGCAACCCCCUCAAUUAACAAUUCCUUUUGAAGCCAUGUAUUAGACUGCACAUUUAAAUAUAAGAGAAAAAUUAAAAAGAUGGGCAGUGGUAUCUAGAUCCAGGGAAGCUUAGUUACAAUGAAUAAAGAAGAGUAGGUGGAAAGAAACCUGAAAUGUGGUUCAAUUUUCCCAUGUUUUUAGCUCAAUGACUAUCAUCCCAGUGCCUUUCAACAUGUUAUAGUCCAUACCGUCUUCAAUGUAUUCUGACCUAAUUUUAGUGUAUUUCUACCUAACCUUGAUUUUGCCAGGGUUAGCAUAGUUUAGUUAUAAUCACAUGAAAUAUGAUUUUUCAAGGAGGAUAUCCUCUCCCAAAUAGUAUAUGCACUUGACCCCCAUCCUUACUGUGCAAAUAUGGAACACAGAGCUAGACAAGGAAAAUUGGGUUAAGCACUGAUCUUAUCAGUGUUCUUUAGGUUUCAAUCAGAGACACAGAGGAUUCUAUUAACCCCCAACUCCACCAUCAGUAGGAGGAACAAGGAAAAUCUAGAUACCCUGACCAUUGACAAACACAAGAACUAUACAUGCAUUCCCUCAUUUGAGAUAAAGACAAGAGAAAGAUACAGUGUGGAAUAAAUGGUACAUCAUCCUGAAAAAAAAAUCUUUGGAAAUGACUUCACAAGAAUUCUUAAAAUGUAGUAAAGUGCUCUAUGUCUUCAAUAUGAUAGAAACAUUUAUGAACUCCAUGAAUCAGGAACUACAGGAAUAAAAAGAGACUGUGUUGAGAGGAAAAGGAGUUGGGUGAAUCAAGGUGGAGUAGCAAUCAUAAAACUUGAAUCAGUGUUGGGAGCAGUAAAGAACGAACUGAUGUUGUGGAAAAUUAAAACACUAAUAUGGACCAUAAUAUUGAGCUUUCCUGGAAUGCAGAUGAAAAGGAUAAAUACCGAAAAAAAAGUAGUGAGAAAAGAUGAAGAUACGGAAUUUAGAAGAAAAAAGCUAACCUGAAUAUAACUAAUGUUCUCAAAGAAGAGACAAGACAAAAAUUAACUAAGCAAUGAUAAACUUUAAGCAAUGAUAACUUUCUUGUAUUGAAGACCUAUGUAUUAGUCUGGGUUCUCUAGAGGGAAAGAACUAAUAGGAUAGAUGUAUAUAUAAAGGGGAGUUGAUUAAGGAAUAUUGACUCACACUGUCACAAGUUGAGGUCCACAAUAGGCCAUCUGCAAGCUGAGGAGCAAGGAAGCCCGUCCGAGCCCUAAAGCUGAAGUACUUGGUGUCCGAUGUUCAAGGGCAGGAAGCAUCUAGCAUGGGAGAAAGAUGGAGGCCAGAAAACUAAACCAGUCCUGUCUUCCCACGUUCUUCUCCCUGCUUUUAUUCUGGCUUUGCUGGCAGCUGAUUAGAUGGUGCCCACCCAGAUUGAGGGUGGGUCUGCCUCUCCCAGUCCACUCACUCAAAUGUUAAUCUCCUUUGGCAACACCCUCACAGACACACCCAGGAAAAAUACUUUGCACCCUUCAAUCCAAUCAAGUUGACACUCAGUAUUAAUCAUCACAACCUAUAUCUUCAGAUCCAAUGAACCUAGGUAAAAGUAAAAAAAAAAAAAAAAAGAUUUGCAUAAAGACAUAUGAAGAUGAUAUUUAAAUGUGAAGACAAACAACAUGUCCUGAAAGCAUCUCAUACAGGAGAAAACAAACAUUACUUCCAAAGGAGCACAUCAGGUAGGCCUGAGACUUCUCUUCACCAAUUUCAAAUGUCAGAUAACAAUGACAGAAUUGUUACAGAGAUCUGGAAGAGGAGAAAAAAUACUCAAGAGUUUUAUACUAAAGCAAGUAGUCUUUCAUAUGUGAUCACACAACCAAAAACUCUUCUUAGAUAUGCUAUUAGAGAAUAACACAUACUUCAUAAGUCAUUGUGAAAAUUGUAUGAAGUCAUGAAUGAGAGAAAUGAACAUUUGACUACUACCAAGUUCUGCAUAAAUGUAGGUUCCUAUUACCUGACUGGCAUUUGUAGAUGUUUACUAAAAUCAAAUAGGAAGGGGGCAUGUGAUUUAACAGGCUUUUCUUAAUCCUUGCUCAAUCUCAGAGAGGGAUGCCUGCUUACAAGCAGAUACCUCACACUGAGCAGGAGGACUUGUUUUCUGGUGCUGAAACCUUGGUCAAGUGACUUAGACUUUCUGAGCUUCCAUUUUUGUCUUCUGUAAAAUAAGUUAUUGGGGCUAAAAUUUUCUUCUAGCUUUACUAUUCCAUGUUGUUUAAAAGUUUAAAGAUCUAUAAGUGGGGCAUUAUAUUAGUAGAAGUUACACUUUAAUAUUCUUUUAUUUUCUAUGUUUUUACUUUAGAGACAUAAAGCUUACUUUAGGAAGAUAUGCUGGAUAAAUGAAUAGAGCAGAUUUCAAAUAAGUAACAUUUGGAUUUUGUUUGACUGGUCAAAAAGGACCAGGGAAUGGGCACAUUUAAAAAUGCAAAAGGCUUGGGAGGCCGAGGCGGGUGGAUCACGAAGUCAGGAGAUUGAGACCAUCCUGGCUAACACGGUGAAACCUCGUCUCUACUAAAAAUACAGAAAAAUUAGCCAGGCAUGGUGACUGGCGCCUGUAGUCCCUGCUACUCAGGAGGCUGAGGCAAGAGAAUGGCGUGAACCCGGGAGGCGGAGCUUGCAGUGAGCCGAGAUCCUGCCACUGCACUCCAGCCUGGGCGACAGAGCUAGACUCCGUCUCAAAAAAUAAAUAAAUAAAUAAUGCAAAAGGUAAAAAUUAUUAAACAAAUAGGUUAUGCGUGUAUAUACAAUGCUUUAGCAGUUAUAUUUAAGGCCAGAUAAAGAUUUGAAAUGCUCCAGCCCACAAUACCAUAAUAUUCAGCAUGGGUGGGAGGGGAUAUGGCUGUAAUGGGGUUAAAGAGGAGCACAGUAAAGUUUGUUAAUGGAAUCUCUGCGUGGACGGUGUUGAAACUUAAAGCACAUUAAUAAUAAAAGCCCUGCUUUAAAAACUGACCUUGUAGUUGAAAGAUAUGCGAUUGUGUCAUUACCAAUUAAUGUGUAAGGUAACAUAGCUUGUACUUGGAAAGCAACAAGGAGGAGUAUCUAAAUGAUAUUCACACAUCUUAAUUAGUGUCAUUAAUAGUUCUUUUGCCAUCUUUCAUGAGAGCAAUGGCAUCUUGCUGCAAGCCAUUGCAAGCAUCUUGUUAUAAGUCAAACCAGGAAGCUAGAUUUGAAGCCAAGUUCUUAAAAGUGGUUUUAAGCUACGGUGCCUACAUGACUAGAAUGUUUCUCUAGGGCCUCUUCUCAGCUGCAGGACUUUUGAAAGCAAUCAGCAAUAGAGCCAGACCUGAAGGUAAUGGUGACUGAUGGACAGCAUUACAAGCGCUCUGUGAGAUGAGAAUGCAAAAACAUGAGAAGAAAUAUGCAAAACAAAUUUCUUCCUAUAGCCUCCCCCGAUGAUUGAUCAGUGAUUUUAAUACUAUAGGUAAAAAUGUGUAUAUAUAUAAAUGUUUCAUCUCUGAAUUCAUUAUCUGCUACUGAACAAAUGAAAUAUUUCCUAAUGAUAUUCUGAAAGUUACUAUAAGAGAAGCCCAUCUAAAAAUCCUUAUUACUGAAAAAUGUUGGUGCACUAGUGUACAGUGUGGCACAAACUGGUAUAAUUUAGGACCCAUCACAUGAUGAUUGCAUCUUAAAUUUUUUUACCUUCUCUGGAAACCAUAAUCUAUAUAACCUAUACCUAAAAUAAAUUUUAUUAUUGCGUUUUCUUCUGACCCUAAAGGUACAAUAUCCUUUAAAUGGGCUUGGAGGGGGAACUGGCAAAAUACAAAGUAGAAUAAAAUUAAAAGGAAAAGAAAUUGAUGGGCUUCCAUCCAGCUUUUUUUCUAUAUAAAAUGUGUAAUUAUGAAUAUAUAUGCUCAUAAAUGCAAUAUUUAACUUAUAUAUGUAGUUUUCUUUGUGUCACUGUCUUAUGUCAUUAAAAUUUUUCAAAAGUAUAAUUAAUAUAAAAUAGCCUAUUUUAUAGUUGUACCAUGUCUGUCUGUCUGGGCUUCUAUAAAAGGAUAUUAUAGACUGGAUGGCUCAUAAACAAUAGAAAUUUAUUUCUCACAGUUCUAGAGUCUGGGAAGUCCAAGAUCAAGGAAACAGUACAUUUGGGGUCUGGUGAGGGCCUGGUUCAUAGAUAGACGGUGGUCUUCCUGCUGUGUUCUUACAUGGCAGAAGGGGCAAAAGGGCUUUGUCGGGCCUCUUGUAUGAAGGCAUUAAUUCCAUCCAUUAUCAAGUGACCUCCCAAAGGCCCCACCUCCUCAUACUAUCAUAUUGGUGCCUGGGUUUUAACAUACAAAUUUUGGGAAGACACAUACAGGCCGUGGCAUACCAUAACUUAACUUAUUGUUGAACAUUUGAGUUAUUCCCAAUUUUUCACUAUUAAAAAAUAAUCCUGGCCAGGCGAGGUGGCUCACGCCUGUAAUCCCAACACUUUGGGAGGCCAAGGUGGGUAAGAUCACUUGAGAUCUGGAGUUCGAGACCAGCCUGGCCAACAUGGCAAAACCCUGUCUCAAAAAUACAAAAAUUAGCUAGAUGUGGUGGCCAGUGCCUGUAGUCAGGAGGACUACAGCUACUCAGGAGGCUGAGGCACAAGAAUUGCUUUAACCCAGCAGGCGGAGGUUGCAGUGAGCCAUCACAUCAUUGUACUCCAGCCUGGGAGACAGAGUGAGACUCCAUCUCAAAAAAAAAAAAAAAAAUCUGUGCUGAAUAUGUUUGCUCACGAAUUUUGUUUAUAUUUCUAACUACUUUAUUAAAAUAUAUUCCUAGAAGCAUCAUGACUAACCCAAAGGGUGCAUCCAUCCUUAAGACUCUUCACACAGAUUGUCAAACAGUCUAAAAAAGUCAAACCAAAUAUACUUCUACCAUUUGGAUAUAAAGGGGCACAACUACAAAAACUAUUUCAUUUUUGUUUUUAAUGUUACUCCUCAUUAACAGUGAAAAUAAAUGUUUUCACAUUUAUUAGUUAUUUGUGUUUUUUCUUCUAAUAAUUAUCUGUUGAUAUCUUUUUAGAUAUUAGUAUAUUAAUAGUAGUUUCUUUUAUAAUUAAGAAUAUCUUAUGAUACCAACUGUGAUAUCACUUUUCUUUUUUUUUUUUUUGAGACGGAAUCUUGCUCUGUCACUGGGCUGGAGUGCAGUGGCGCCAUUUCGGCUCACUGCAACCUCCGCCUCCUGGGUUCAAGCAAUUCUCUUGUCUCAGCCUCCUGAGUAGCUGGGACUACAGACCCACACCACCACGCCUGGCUAAUUUUUGUUUUUGUAUUUUAGUUGGGAUGGGGUUUCACCAUGUUGGCCAAGACGGUCUCAACCUCCUGACCUUGUGAUCCACCCACCUCGGCCUCUCAAAUUGCUGGGAUUACAGGCGUGAGCCACCGCGCCUGGCCACUAUCACUAUGUUUAAAAAGACAGACAAUAUUUAUGACAUUAACAUUCAUUUCUGUAUUCCCUGUGUUCACCAAGUCUAAUUGGUUUUUUGUUAGUCUGCUUUUUUUUUUUCAGGCAGUACAGGUAUAUUCAAUUUUAGGCAGCUCUUGGCUUCUAUUCCAAUUUAAACAAGCUAGACACUUAAAAUUUUUAUAUAAAUAAUUUUGUGAGUAUUAAAACAAGUAUUAUAAGGCUAUUGAUCCUUUUUGCAGCAGAGUAGUGGUUUCAUUGCUGAAGCAAAAUACAGUAUUAUAAAGCUACAUUAAUAUUUUUAUUUCUAUGGCUAGGUCAAUCAAUCUGGCUAACAACUGAGAAAAAAAGAGUUGUAAUCAAUUACAUUCACACAUCUAUUUUAUUUUUUGCAUGUAGAAGCAGAGUUAAGUUCUUAGGUCAUUACUAAAGCAAUAAUAUAUUCUAUUCUACCUUGUGAAAUUUUUAAGAAAAUACGUAAAGAAGUUGCCCUUGGAAACACCUUCUUACAACAAAACAGAGACCCAAUGGGGAAAGACAUUUCUGAGGGCAGCUUAACUUUGUGUCUAUAGCUGUAAAAUAAUAGAGAUAAUUAAAACAAAAAAACUUUUGAAUUUAACUAAAAACAUGCUUACAUCACCUUAUUUUUAUUUAGUUUUAACUGGUCUAUUAUUUUCAUAUUUAUUUGCCACCCUUAAAAAAUGCCUUUGUUAUCAUAGCUUUUUCUUCUGAGACACAUGCCUGUCUCCUAUUUGAGUUCUGGUUCUAAGGUUAUACAGUUUAGCAGUAGGAAUUGUUUCUUUCUCCUCUUCUCCUUCUAUGUACAAUUGUUUUUUAAAUAUGGCCUACCCUGUAUUACAUAGGCAUGCUAUUUUUUAUUUAUUUAUUUAUUUAUUUUUGAGACGGAGUUU
rnacentral:lncRNA from 1 species